rnacentral:sRNA from 1 species
UUAGUAUGUAUUUAAGUUUAGCAGUGCC